rnacentral:rRNA from 1 species
UGGGGAAUAUUGCACAAUGGACGAAAGUCUGAUGCAGCAACGCCGCGUGGAGGAUGACACAUUUCGGUGCGUAAACUCCUUUUAUAUAAGAAGAUAAUGACGGUAUUAUAUGAAUAAGCACCGGCUAACUCCGUGCCAGCAGCCGCGGUAAUACGGGGGGUGCAAGCGUUACUCGGAAUCACUGGGCGUAAAGAGCAUGUAGGCGGAUUAAUAAGUUUGAAGUGAAAUCCUAUAGCUUAACUAUAGAACUGCUUUGAAAACUGUUGAUCUAGAAUGUGGGAGAGGUAGAUGGAAUUUCUGGUGUAGGGGUAAAAUCCGUAGAGAUCAGAAGGAAUACCGAUUGCGAAGGCGAUUUACUGGAACACAAUUGACGCUGAGAUGCGAAAGCGUGGGGAGCAAACAGG